GUGGCUGUGGCUCAGUUGGUAGAGUAGGCUGUCCUCUAAUUGUAGGGUUCGUGGUUCGAUUCCUGGCCCACA